GAGCCAUUAGCUCAGUUGGUAGAGCACCUGACUUUUAAUCAGGGUGUCGCUGGUUCGAGUCCAGCAUGGCUCA
rfam:Firmicutes bacterium MLFW-2 MLFW-2_Contig_11_85X, whole genome shotgun sequence.